GUGGGGAAUAUUGGGCAAUGGGCGAAAGCCUGAACCAGCCAUGCCGCGUGUGUGAAGAAGGUCUUCGGAUUGUAAAGCACUUUAAGUUGGGAGGAAGGGCAGUAAGUUAAUACCUUGCUGUUUUGACGUUACCAACAGAAUAAGCACCGGCUAACUUCGUGCCAGCAGCCGCGGUAAUACGAAGGGUGCAAGCGUUAAUCGGAAUUACUGGGCGUAAAGCGCGCGUAGGUGGUUCAGCAAGUUGGAGGUGAAAUCCCCGGGCUCAACCUGGGAACUGCCUCCAAAACUACUGAGCUAGAGUACGGUAGAGGGUAGUGGAAUUUCCUGUGUAGCGGUGAAAUGCGUAGAUAUAGGAAGGAACACCAGUGGCGAAGGCGACUACCUGGACUGAUACUGACACUGAGGUGCGAAAGCGUGGGGAGCAAACAGGAUUAGAUACCCGGGUAGUCC
rnacentral:rRNA from 1 species